CCUACGGGGGGCUGCAGUGGGGAAUAUUGCACAAUGGGCGCGAGCCUGAUGCAGCCAUGCCGCGUGUGUGAAGAAGGCCUUCGGGUUGUAAAGCACUUUCAGCGGGGAGGAAGGCGUUAAGGUUAAUAACCUUGUCGAUUGACGUUACCCGCAGAAGAAGCACCGGCUAACUCCGUGCCAGCAGCCGCGGUAAUACGGGAGGGUGCAAGCGUUAAUCGGAAUUACUGGGCGUAAAGCGCACGCAGGCGGUCUGUCAAGUCGGAUGUGAAAUCCCCGGGCUCAACCUGGGAACUGCAUUCGAAACUGGCAGGCUAGAGUCAUGUAGAGGGGGGUAGAAUUCCAGGUGUAGCGGUGAAAUGCGUAGAGAUCUGGAGGAAUACCGGUGGCGAAGGCGGCCCCCUGGACAAAGACUGACGCUCAGGUGCGAAAGCGUGGGGAGCAAACAGGAUUAGAUACCCUUGUAGUC
rnacentral:rRNA from 1 species